rnacentral:tRNA from 1 species
GCCCCUGUAGCUCAGUGGAUAGAGCAGCGGCCUUCUAAUCCGACGGUCGGGGGUUCGACUCCCUCCAGGGGCA